rnacentral:rRNA from 1 species
AGAACGAACGCUGGCGGCAUGCCUAACACAUGCAAGUCGAACGAGACCUUCGGGUCUAGUGGCGCACGGGUGCGUAACGCGUGGGAACCUGCCUUUAGGUUCGGAAUAACUCUCCGAAAGGGGUGCUAAUACCGGAUAAUGUCUUCGGACCAAAGAUUUAUCGCCUUUAGAUGGGCCCGCGUAAGAUUAGGUAGUUGGUGGGGUAAAGGCCUACCAAGCCGACGAUCUUUAGCUGGUCUGAGAGGAUGAUCAGCCACACUGGGACUGAGACACGGCCCAGACUCCUACGGGAGGCAGCAGUGGGGAAUAUUGGACAAUGGGCGAAAGCCUGAUCCAGCAAUGCCGCGUGAGUGAUGAGGGCCUUAGGGUUGUAAAGCUCUUUACCCGGAUGAUAAUGACAGUACCGGGAGAAUAAGCUCCGGCUAACUCCGUGCCAGCAGCCGC